CGAUCCCACUGGCUCCUCAGCUUGGCGGCCAUGCCUGUUGCAUAAAUGGGCUCCUCCAUCCUGAGUUUGUGGAGUUAACUGUGGGGUCACCCUGUCAGCUGGAAUGAUUGUAGGUGAGGCUCAAAAUGCGAAGGCAGACGUCCCAGUGAGCACCAAUCACAGUUUGUUGUUGUUUUUUGUCCCGAUGCCAACAGGGGGGGACGGGCCUCAGUCCUUCCUUGUCCAA